rnacentral:rRNA from 1 species
AACGAACGCUGGCGGCAUGCCUAACACAUGCAAGUCGAACGAGAUCUUCGGGUCUAGUGGCGCACGGGUGCGUAACGCGUGGGAAUCUGCCCUUUGGUUCGGAAUAACAGUUGGAAACGACUGCUAAUACCGGAUGAUGACGAAAGUCCAAAGAUUUAUCGCCAGAGGAUGAGCCCGCGUAGGAUUAGCUAGUUGGUGUGGUAAAGGCGCACCAAGGCGACGAUCCUUAGCUGGUCUGAGAGGAUGAUCAGCCACACUGGGACUGAGACACGGCCCAGACUCCUACGGGAGGCAGCAGUGGGGAAUAUUGGACAAUGGGCGCAAGCCUGAUCCAGCCAUGCCGCGUGGGUGAAGAAGGCCUUAGGGUUGUAAACCCCUUUCAGCGGGGAAGAUAAUGACGGUACCCGCAGAAGAAGUCCCGGCUAACUCCGUGCCAGCCGCCGCGGUAA